rnacentral:rRNA from 1 species
GAUGAACGCUGGCGGCGUGCCUAAUACAUGCAAGUCGAGCGAACUGUUGGUAGCUUUCUCCCAUGAGUUAGCGGCGGACGGGUGAGUAACACGUGGGUAACCUGCCUGUAAGACUGGGAUAACUUCUGGAAACCGGGGCUAAUACCGGAUAACAUCUCAGACCACAUGGCCUUCAAUGAAAAGGUGGCGUUGAGCUGCCACUUCUAGCGGGUCCCCCGGCGCAUGGUCUGGUUGGUGAGGUAAAGGCUCACCAAGGCGACGAGGCGUAGCCGACCGGAGAGGGUGAGUAGCCGCACUGGGACUGAGACACGGCCCAGAGUGCUACGGGAGGCGGCAGUAGGGAAUCUUGCGCAAGGGACGAAAGACUGACGGAGCAGCGCCGAGGGCGGGAAGAGGGCCGUCGGGUGGGAAAGCACGGUUGUUAGGGAAGAAAAAGCUUCGUCCGAAUAGGGCGGUAGCUUGACGGUACCUAACCAGAAAGCCACGGCUAACUACGUG